rnacentral:tRNA from 1 species
GGCACCAUGGCUCAGCUGGUUAAAGCAUCUGCCUAGUAAAUAAGAGAUCCUGGGUUCAACUCCCAGCGGCGCCC